GCAUUAAUGGGGUAGUGGUAACCUGGGUCGUUGCCAUGAGGAUCAAGUCGACCCACCGGGAGUUCGAUUCUCUCUUAAUGCA